rnacentral:rRNA from 1 species
AUCACCUGACGACUGUAUCAAAGGAGAAAUCCGCUUUGAGACGGGCCCGCGGCUGAUUAGCUAGUUGGUGAGGUAAUGGCUCGCCAAGGCGACGAUCCGUAGCUGGUCUGAGAGGAUGAUCAGCCACACUGGAACUGAGACACGGUCCAGACUCCUACGGGAGGCAGCAGUGGGGAAUAUUGCGCAAUGGGGGAAACCCUGACGCAGCAACGCCGCGUGGAGGAAGAAGGUCUUAGGGAAAAAGGCAAUCGUGCUAACACCACGGUUGUUUGAUGGUACCUGUUGAAUAAGCCCCGGCUAACUACGUGCCAGCAGCCGCGGUAAUACGUAGGGGGCGAGCGUUGUCCGGAGUUACUGGGCGUAAAGAGCGUGUAGGCGGUUGGAAAAGUCAGGUGUGAAAUUCUUCGGCUCAACCGGGGGACUGCGCCUGAAACUUUCCGACUGGAGUUUGGGAGGGGCAACUGGAAUUCCUGGUGUAACGGUGAAAUGUGUAGAUAUUAGGAGGAACACCAGUGGCGAAGGCGACUUCCUGGCUUGUAACUGACACUGAGGCGCGAAAGCGUGGGGAUCAAACAGGAUUAGAUACCCUGGUAGUCCACGCCGUAAACGAUGAGUGCUAGGUGUCGGGGGUAUCGACCCCCUCGGUGCCACAGCUAACGCAAUAAGCACUCCGCCUGGGGAGUACGGUCGCAAGACUGAAACUCAAAGGAAUUGACGGGGGCCCGCACAAGCGGUGGAGUAUGUGGUUUAAUUCGAUGAUACGCGAGAAACCUUACCUGACAUGCUGGGAACCCUUAAGAGAUUAGGGGGUGCCUGCUUGCAGGAGCCCAGACACAGGUGGUGCAUGGUUGUCGUCAGCUCGUGUCGUGAGAUGUUGGGUUAAGUCCCGCAACGAGCGCAACCCCUGUGUUUAGUUGCUAACGCGUAAUGGCGAGCACUCUAGACAGACUGCCGGUGAUAAACCGGAGGAAGGUGGGGAUGACGUCAAAUCAUCAUGCCCCUUAUGUCCUGGGCUACACACGUACUACAAUGGCCUGAACAGAGGGAAGCGAAACUGCGAGGUGAAGCAAAACCGAGAAAGCCGGUCUCAGUUCGGAUUGCAGGCUGCAACUCGCCUGCAUGAAGUCGGAAUCGCUAGUAAUCGCAGGUCAGCAUACUGCGGUGAAUACGUUCCCGGGCCUUGUACACACCGCCCGUCACACCACGAAAGUCUGCAACACCCGAAGCCGGUGAGGUAACCCGUAAGGGAGCUAGCCGUCGAAGGUGGGGCCGAUAAUUGGGGUGAAGUCGUAACAAGGUAACCC